rnacentral:lncRNA from 1 species
GGGGGGGGGGGCGGGGCGGGGCGGUAAGGCUCAGGCAUGGCGGGCUGCAGGUCCUGAUCCCUGCCCGGCGGGGAGGCAGCUAAGGCCUGGCGAGAAAUCGAGCACAGCAGCUGCUGGCCCAGGUGCUAAGCCCCUCACUGCCCGGGAUCGGCGGGGCUGGCCGGCAGCUCCCAGUGCGGGGCCCUCCGAGCCCACGCCCCACCGGGAACUCCCGCUGGCUCGCAAGCGCCGGGCGCAGCCCCAGUUCCCGCCCGCGCCUCUCCCUCCUCACCUCCCAGCAAGCUGAGGGAGCCGGCUCCGGCCUCGGCCAGCCCAGGAAGGGACUCCCACAGUGCAGCGGCGGGCUGAAGGGCUCCUCAAGUGCCGCCGGAGUGGGCGCCCAGGCAGAGGAGGCGCCCAGAGCGAGCGAGGACUGCGAGGACUUGCCAGCACGCUGUCACCUCUCACUUCCAGAACUAGCCACAUCUCUAAGGAGCUCUCAUUCCUGUUAAUGAAGAAUGAUAUUUACAAACCAAAAUCCAGGAACUAGGUUUAGGAGCAAGAUAAUGGAAUAGAAGCCUACAACAUUUGCUCUCCGACCCCACUGGAAAACCAAAUGACUCUUGGGUUUCCUGACACCAGGCCUAGGUGGUGGGACAGCAUUUCUGGACCUGCCCUGGGAAAGAAGGGAGCUUAACAGUCCUGAAAGGACAGACUAGUUCUCCGUCCCUUGCAGCUCAUGGGCUGAGUUCUGACCAAUGGGAUGUAGACAGAGAUGAUGCGCAAUCUUGAAAGGAUAUUACUCUGUCGCCCAAGCUGAAGUGCAGCGGCAUGACCAUAGCUCAUUGCAGUCUCAACCUCCUGGGUUCAAGUCAUCCCCGUGCCUCAGCCUCCCAAGUAGCUGGGACUGCAGACCUGCAAGAUAAGGUUGAAUAGUUGUGUACAGCAUCCUCGCCUCAAAUGGAGAUCUUUCAAAGUGUCACUCUUUAGCAGGAAAGAUUUCUUGCAACCUCAUGAAAGACCUUGACCAGCCAUGACUACCCAUCUAACAUGCUGUCUAAUUCCUGACCUAUGGACACUGAUUUCAAAGAGAGGCUGUUUGCUUGACUGAAGGAAGUGCCUUUUGACAGAAGAUGCAAUUUAUGUUAUAUGAAUGAUAUUUCUGAUGGCCAAAAGGACCUGUGAUAGCCUGAGAGUCAAAGACAAGCAGGAACGCAUCUGUAGUCAAACAAGGUCAGGUUUAUUUAGUGGACUGCAUCAAAUAAGAACACCCCCAAAUAGGAACUUGGGGCACCUCAGUAAUGGAGAUUUCACAGGAGUUGUUUAUAUGUUUGUGCUUGUGCUUGAUAUUCCCAAGGCAGAUAUGGAAUGAAUCCUGGCUUGGAUUGGUUCUUGUCAACAAGGAGGAGCAGGUUAGCAAUCAGAUUCUCGGUAUUCAUUGUUCAGGUGGUGCUGUAUGUCCCCUCCAAAAGCAUGUUGAAAUUUAAUUGCCAAUAUAAUUGUAUUGUGAGGUAGGACCUUUAAGAGGGGUUUGGCUCAUUGAAGCUCCACCCUCAUGAAUAGAUUAAUGUCAUUAUCGUGGGAGUGGGAUUGUUAUCAUGGGAAUGGGCUCCUGAUAAAAGAGUGGUUUCUGCCUGAUCUCCUCUUUCCCUCUCUCGCAUGCUCACUUGCCCUUCCACCAUAUUAUGAUGCAGCAGGAGGGCCCUCACCAGAUGCUGAUAACAUUUUUUUAACUUCUCAGCCCUCAAAACUGUGAAGAAUAAUUUCUUUCUUUUAUACAUCACCUAGUCUGUGCUAUUCUGUUAUAGCAGAAGACAAUAAACUAAGACAGACAUCGGGAAAACAACACGGGCUUGGGGACAUCAUUUAUAAGAAAGUGAUAAUCACUCAGAGAAAAAAAUGAUUAGUCAUAUUUUCAGCUAUAGUGUGGCCUUUUGUAUAAGCACUGUAUACAAAAAUGCUAUAUCCCAUUGGAAGCAUUUUUUUUUUUUUUUGAGAAGGAGUCUCACUCUGUAACUCAGGCUAGAGUGCAGUGGCACGAUCUCGGCUCACUGCAACCUCCUCCUCCUGGGGUCAAGCGAUUCUCCUGCCUCAGCCUCCCGAGUAGCUGGGACUACAGGUGUGCACCACCGGGCCCAGGUAAUUUUUUUGUAUUUUUGGUAGAGACAGGAUUUUACCAUGUUGGCCAGGCUGGUCUCGAACUCCUGACCUUUUCACUUUCUCAAAAAGAAUAUUGUGACACAACCAUGAAGUGAAGAGUUCUAAGAUCCAACAUAGUCUCACUGAGUUGAUGCAUGUUUUUACCUGACUUCUGAUCAUUUUAUAAACAAUUAAAAUAGUACAGCGGGACAGGACCUUAGAAAUUGUCAUUAUAUGUAUGGAGAGCCUGGAGCACAUUCCCAGGGUCUGCCAAGCAGUUUGUGCCAAAAGAAGGAUUAGGACCCAGAUCUCUGACAAUUAGACAAGGAUCCUUCACAGGACAUCUAUUUUCAUCCUGGUACACACACACACACCUGUACCAAUUUCAGGGGUAAAGUAUUUUGCAAGUGAUUUACUACUAAUAAGAGUGAAAAUACUGGAGUGAUUCUCUAUUACUGUUUUCUCACUGUAAAAAUUUCAAGCAUACAAUCAUAAUAAAGUUAUCUCUUUACUUCAAUCUCCUUUCUCAUCUCCAUAUGGAUAAAUAUGUGUAUCUGACUAUUAUAUUAAAGUAAUGAUAUAGUAGUACAUAUUGUUUUGCUGUUGGCUUUUCCCAAUUAAUAACACACUUUGGAUACUGUUCUGUGUCAGUGUCAAUAAAAUCUGUAAACAUAGAUAACAUUAUUUUAUUAUUUUACAAGGUGAAGAUGUCCUUAAUGAUAUUCAAUAUACUUUUCUACAUUUACAGACUAUGUACAUUUUGUAGAUAGAACUUUUUUAUUAAAAUUAACGUUAUUAACCAUUUAUUUAAAAUACUCACAAAUAUUUUUAUUCAAAAAUUAUCUUGAGUAGUAAGGUUAUUGAGAUGCACAAUAAAUGAGCUACGUACUGCUUAUGAGAGAUGGUAGGCCAUUCUUUCUGUGGAUCAUAAGAAAUAUUUUAAAUAAAUAAAUAGUUUGAAU